UGAGAUGGUAUCUAAUUGUGGUUUUGAUUUGAAUUUCUCUAAUGACCAGUGAUGAUGAGCUUUUUUUCAUAUGUUUGUUGACUGCAUAAAUGUCUUCUUUUGAAAAGUGUCUGUUCAUAUCCUUCACCUACUUUUUGAUGGGGUGGUUUGUUUUUUCUUAAUUUGUUUUAGUUCUUUGUAGACUCUGGA